AGUCAAGUGAAUAAGUGCAUCAGGUGGAUGCCUUGGCGAUGAUAGGCGACGAAGGACGUGUAAGCCUGCGAAAAGCGUGGGGGAGCUGGCAAUAAAGCUAUGAUCCCGCGGUGUCCGAAUGGGGAAACCCACCUCUUAGGAGGUAUCCUUAUCUGAAUACAUAGGAUAAGCGAAGCGAACCCGGAGAACUGAACCAUCUAAGUACCCGGAGGAAAAGAAAUCAACCGAGAUUCCGCAAGUAGUGGCGAGCGAACGCGGAGGAGCCUGUACGUGAUAACUGUCGAGAUAGAAGAACAAGCUGGGAAGCUUGACCAUAGUGGGUGAUAGUCCCGUAUUCGAAAUCUCAAUAGUGGUACUAAGCGUACGAAAAGUAGGGCGGGACACGUGAAAUCCUGUCUGAAUAUGGGGGGACCAUCCUCCAAGGCUAAAUACUCAUCAUCGACCGAUAGUGAACCAGUACCGUGAGGGAAAGGCGAAAAGAACCCCGGGAGGGGAGUGAAAUAGAACCUGAAACCUGAUGCAUACAAACAGUGGGAGCACCCUUGUGGUGUGACUGCGUACCUUUUGUAUAAUGGGUCAACGACUUACAUUCAGUAGCGAGCUUAACCGAAUAGGGGAGGCGUAGGGAAACCGAGUCUUAAUAGGGCGAACAGUUGCUGGGUGUAGACCCGAAACCGAGUGAUCUAUCCAUGGCCAGGUUGAAGGUGCCGUAACAGGUACUGGAGGACCGAACCCACGCAUGUUGCAAAAUGCGGGGAUGAGCUGUGGAUAGGGGUGAAAGGCUAAACAAACUCGGAGAUAGCUGGUUCUCCCCGAAAACUAUUUAGGUAGUGCCUCGAGCAAGACACUGAUGGGGGUAAAGCACUGUUAUGGCUAGGGGGUUAUUGCAACUUACCAACCCAUGGCAAACUAAGAAUACCAUCAAGUGGUUCCUCGGGAGACAGACAGCGGGUGCUAACGUCCGUUGUCAAGAGGGAAACAACCCAGACCGCCAGCUAAGGUCCCAAAUGAUAGAUUAAGUGGUAAACGAAGUGGGAAGGCCCAGACAGCCAGGAUGUUGGCUUAGAAGCAGCCAUCAUUUAAAGAAAGCGUAAUAGCUCACUGGUCGAGUCGUCCUGCGCGGAAGAUGUAACGGGGCUCAAAUCUAUAACCGAAGCUGCGGAUGCCAGUUUACUGGCAUGGUAGGGGAGCGUUCUGUAGGCCAAUGAAGGUGCAUUGUAAAGUGUGCUGGAGGUAUCAGAAGUGCGAAUGUUGACAUGAGUAGCGAUAAAGCGGGUGAAAAGCCCGCUCGCCGAAAGCCCAAGGUUUCCUACGCAACGUUCAUCGGCGUAGGGUGAGUCGGCCCCUAAGGCGAGGCAGAAAUGCGUAGUCGAUGGGAAACAGGUUAAUAUUCCUGUACUUGAUUCAAAUGCGAUGUGGGGACGGAGAAGGUUAGGUUAGCAAGCUGUUGGAAUAGCUUGUUUAAGCCGGUAGGUGGAAGACUUAGGCAAAUCCGGGUCUUCUUAACACCGAGAAGUGACGACGAGUGUCUACGGACAUGAAGUAACCGAUACCACGCUUCCAGGAAAAGCCACUAAGCUUCAGUUUGAAUCGAACCGUACCGCAAACCGACACAGGUGGGCAGGAUGAGAAUUCUAAGGCGCUUGAGAGAACUCGGGAGAAGGAACUCGGCAAAUUGAUACCGUAACUUCGGGAGAAGGUAUGCCCUCUAAGGUUAAGGACUUGCUCCGUAAGCCCUGGAGGGUCGCAGAGAAUAGGUGGCUGCGACUGUUUAUUAAAAACACAGCACUCUGCUAACACGAAAGUGGACGUAUAGGGUGUGACGCCUGCCCGGUGCUGGAAGGUUAAUUGAAGAUGUGCAAGCAUCGGAUCGAAGCCCCAGUAAACGGCGGCCGUAACUAUAACGGUCCUAAGGUAGCGAAAUUCCUUGUCGGGU
rnacentral:rRNA from 1 species